rnacentral:rRNA from 1 species
UGAGUAACGCGUGGGAACGUACCCUUCACUACGGAAUAGCUUCUGGAAACGGAAGGUAAUACCGUAUACGCCCUCCGGGGGAAAGAUUUAUCGGUGAAGGAUCGGCCCGCGUUAGAUUAGUUUGUUGGUGGGGUAAUGGCCUACCAAGACUACGAUCUAUAGCUGGUCUGAGAGGAUGAUCAGCCACACUGGGACUGAGACACGGCCCAGACUCCUACGGGAGGCAGCAGUGGGGAAUCUUGCACAAUGGGCGAAAGCCUGAUGCAGCCAUGCCGCGUGAAUGAUGAAGGCCUUAGGGUUGUAAAAUUCUUUCGCCAGGGAUGAUAAUGACAGUACCUGGUAAAGAAGCCCCGGCUAACUUCGUGCCAGCAGCCGCGGUAAUACGAAGGGGGCUAGCGUUGUUCGGAAUUACUGGGCGUAAAGCGCGCGUAGGCGGGCUAUUAAGCCAGAUGUGAAAGCCCGGGGCUCAACCUCGGAAUUGCAUUUGGAACUGGUAGCCUAGAGACCAGGAGAGGUUAGCGGAAUACCGAGUGUAGAGGUGAAAUUCGUAGAUAUUCGGUGGAACACCAGUGGCGAAGGCGGCUAACUGGACUGGUACUGACGCUGAGGCGCGAAAGUGUGGGGAGCAAACAGGAUUAGAUACCCUGGUAGUCCACACCG